rnacentral:misc_RNA from 1 species
UUAAGUUCAGCGGGUAGUCCUACCUGAUUUGAGGUCAGAGUCAGAAGAUUGUCCGAAGACGAUUAGGAGCGAACAAGAGUUGCUGUCUAACGAAACUUAUUACGCUAGAGGUUCACAAUUGCCUCGCUAACAUUUUUUAAGGCGAGCCAGUGGCAGCACCCAAGUCAAUCACUAAGAAACCUUAGAGAUUGAUGAUUUCA